CCUACGGGCGGCAGCAGUGGGGAAUAUUGGGCAAUGGGCGCAAGCCUGACCCAGCAACGCCGCGUGAAGGAAGAAGGCUUUCGGGUUGUAAACUUCUUUUAUCAGGGACGAAGCAAGUGACGGUACCUGAUGAGUAAGCCACGGCUAACUACGUGCCAGCAGCCGCGGUAAUACGUAGGUGGCAAGCGUUAUCCGGAUUUACUGGGUGUAAAGGGCGUGUAGGCGGGAGUGCAAGUCAGAUGUGAAAACUAUGGGCUCAACCCAUAGCCUGCAUUUGAAACUGUACUUCUUGAGUGCUGGGGAGGCAAUCGGAAUUCCGGGUGUAGCGGUGAAAUGCGUAGAUAUACGGAGGAACACCAGUGGCGAAGGCGGAUUGCUGGACAGUAACUGACGCUGAGGCGCGAAAGCGUGGGGAGCAAACAGGAUUAGAUACCCUGGUAGUC
rnacentral:rRNA from 1 species